AAAACACCCAAUAGAUAGUUGUAGUGAAAAUAUUAUGUAUUUAUAUGUACAUGUACCACUUCUUGAAGGACAACAAAGUCACCAAACUUAGUCUGAUUUUCUAAGUAUUUUCUCCUCAACAUUUUUUUUAACAGAACAUGAUUUGACCUGUUUAAGUCAGUUUACAGAAAAAAAAUCCGAUCAAACUAGGUUUCUUCAUCUUAGCCCCCCCCCC
rnacentral:lncRNA from 1 species